UACGUAGGGGCCUAGCGUUGUCCGGAUUUAUUGGGCGUAAAGAGCUCGUAGGCGGCACGGUUAGUCAGGUGUGAAAUCUCCACGCUCAACGUGGAGGGGUCACCUGAUACUGCCGAGCUUGAGUCCGGUAGGGGAGUGUGGAAUUCCCGGUGUAGCGGUGAAAUGCGCAGAUAUCGGGAAGAACACCCGUGGCGAAGGCGGCUCUCUGGGACGGUACUGACGCUGAGACGCGAAAGCGUGGGGAGCGAACAGG
rnacentral:rRNA from 1 species